rnacentral:rRNA from 1 species
AGUGUAGGCGGCUUCGUAAGUCGGAUGUGAAAGCCCCGGGCUUAACCUGGGAAUUGCAUUCGAUACUGCGCGGCUAGAGUUUGGUAGAGGGAAGUGGAAUUCCAGGUGUAGCGGUGAAAUGCGUAGAUAUCUGGAGGAACAUCAGUGGCGAAGGCGGCUUCCUGGAUCAAAACUGACGCUGAGGCUCGAAAGCGUGGGGAGCAAACAGGAUUAGAUACCCUGGUAGUCC